rnacentral:rRNA from 1 species
AGAACGAACGCUGGCGGCAUGCCUAAUACAUGCAAGUCGAACGAACUCUUCGGAGUUAGUGGCGCACGGGUGCGUAACGCGUGGGAAUCUGCCCCUUGGUUCGGAAUAACAGUUGGAAACGACUGCUAAUACCGGAUGAUGACGAAAGUCCAAAGAUUUAUCGCCAAGGGAUGAGCCCGCGUAGGAUUAGCUAGUUGGUGAGGUAAAGGCUCACCAAGGCAACGAUCCUUAGCUGGUCUGAGAGGAUGAUCAGCCACACUGGGACUGAGACACGGCCCAGACUCCUACGGGAGCAGCAGUAGGGAAUAUUGGACAAUGGGCGAAAGCCUAGAUCCAGCAAUGCCGCGUGAGUGAUGAAGGCCUUAGGUUGUAAAGCUACUUUUACCGAGAUGAUAAUGACAGUAUCGGAA